GAGAGCAGUUAUUUCCUAUGUAACAGAUGUUUAGUGAGGAGGUAAAAAACAACUUCACACAGAGUACAGUGCCUGCUUUCAGGGUUUUUCCAAGGUUCAAGUCCAAAGUAAAUCAGUCAGUGAGGGGGCUACUUUCAAUAUUUUCUCAGUAGUUUGUCAACCGCAGGCACAGCACCAAUCUCUCCGUACUGCACGUUUCUGUGAAGGUUUUUCUAGCGAGUUUUAGAGGGAGGGGGGGGGGGGGGGGGGGGGGGGGGAAUGGUGAGGUGAGACUUAAACUUCAGCUUAGUUUCUGUUUUAGUCACUUUGAGAGUGAGAUCGAGCAGGCGUUUGAGCGACAGACACAAAGUAACAUAAAAUACUUUUAACUCCUAAAUGGGAUUUUUACUCAUAAUUAAAAAUAAUAAUAAUAAAUAAUAUUAAUGUAUUACAUGGGCUAAAAUAACAAUAAUGCAGAAUUUCACAUUUCAAGUCUAUUUCAGCAGAAGAAGACCAAGAUUGCUCUAGAUACACUGUAAUGAAACGUCUGUCAACCAUAGCUGAAAAGCCUCACCAAUUUCUGAAUUUUGCCUGAUGAUGAACAGCAAAACAAACUUCCAGGCAACCAGAUAAUUCUGGUUGUUUUAGUAUGGACAAAAAUACACGAAGUAAUUUUUCACAGAAAAAUAUUUUCAUCUCGUUGUAUAAAUGUCCACUUCUUACAGAAAACAAAAUCACAGAGAACCAGUGAACCACAAACAACACUAAAAUGUAAAAUCUAGCUGAAUCACUGAUUAACAUCCUCAGCAUAAAGUAUUUUUUUUAAAUCUUUGUAAAAUAACAUUUGUAACUUUCUAACUCUCCUUAUAGUCCUAAAUGUCUACCACGUAAGUGUUUCUGGAUGUAUGAGUUGUGCAAUAAAUGAGUGUUAUAGACUCAUUACUCAUA